AGUGUCAUUUCUAUUGGUGUUUAGGAUUUUAUAUUAAUAUUAAUGGUAAAUCAUUAAUAUUUGUUAAUUAUUAAUAGCAUUAUCUAUGUAUCAGAUACUCUGCAUGUAUUAUCUCAUUUAUUUGUAACAAAAAUUCUGUAGACUAUUGUUUACCCAUUUAAUAUGUGUGCAAACUGAAGCUCACUAACACGCCCAAGGAUUCACACUCUUGCAGAAGAAGGCUGAUAUAAGCACCAAACAAUUAGCCCCAUGGCCACUUGACAGUAAGGGAAUAGCUUGUUUGAGGCUGCAUAUUCUUGUCACUCCUUUGAUAUGUAAUAUUAGACUAUUGCUUAAGAAAUGAUGGCAAAUAAAUACAGUUUUUCAAGUAGUAACACAGUAGUAGGCAUUUAACAAAGGUUCAUGUAACUGCAUACUAAUUCUGACUUUUCUUAUGUAAGGCCUUGGAACAUUUUAGGGCACUCUAUGGUCAAGCUAUGAAUAUUGUAUUUAAGCAGUUUCUCCUGUCAUUUUUAUUUUCCAUAAUUUAUCUGUUUACUUAUAAAGAUAGAAUCAUUCUCUCAUGAGCCAUCCAGGAAAAUCAUUUUGGAGAUCAUUAUGAUUGAUUUUUAUUAUUAUAUUUUUUGACUAGAGAUUAGGCAUGUGUCAACAAGGACAAAGGAGAAAAUAUUAAAAGAUUAUUCUGAUGCAAAACCAACAUUGAGAACCUCUUCCAUAAGUAUCUUCUAACUCCUAAAUGGAUUAGUGCCCAACUGGGCAUUUGUGUCCAUCAGAGUCUCCUAGCCAUAUGGUUUAUCUCAAGAAAAUAAGUGCUAAACUUAGGAAGAACCUAGAGCAACUACCCAAGGACUGCUGGGACAGUGAGAAGCUAAUGUGUUAUUAUGAGGACCAAAUGGUGAAAGCAUCUUGAUGCUGUAAAAGCUGUACAAAUAUUAUUUCAAAGAAUCGACUAUUCAUUUCAGGACCAAAGACUCCAGAGGCUACUCUUCCCUCUGUGUCUUAUACUUGUCCCCCAAAAUAGUAUACAGGAGAGAAAAUGUGGUGAGAAAUCUGUUUCUCUGGAAAGUCAAGAGAAAUGAGUGAUCCAAGAUGAGAAAAGGGACAGGCAGCGAAAAACAAGGAAGCAACUGGGUGAGUCCUGCUUGUCACAACAUAUAAACUCUGGUGUUAGUAGGCUAGAGGUAGUCCUGGCCUCCUAGCACUGGGAGUGCAUGCCCAGCCUGCAGGGUCUCGGCCACUUCCUCACAGCCUUUUAGUGGGAUGAACCAAUACAAUCCAGUGUGCUGCGAAAGAAAUGAUGCAGUCCUUCAAACAAACCAAUAUAUUCUAAAUAUAUUCUAACUAUUCUUUCUACAAUUGGACUGUUGACCUGAGUCCUGGUUCUGUCAUUUAAUUAUUGAAUUUUCUUAAAAAAAUCUAUUUAAAGUGUUUAUACCUAAGCAUCCUUAUGAAUGCAAUAGGGGCUUAUAAUAAUGCCUACGUCAUUAGGUUAUUGAGAAGAGCAAUUGAGUUAAUACCUGAAAAAUGCAUAAAUGAACCAAAAGAUGCUUGGCCCAUAGUGAGUACUCAGUAAUUUCUCUCUACUGUUUUUAUUACCUAUUUUUGUCUGUUCUAGAAAGAUGAACCUGGCACAAUACUUGGCACACAGAUGAUGCUCAGUAAAUAUCAUUAAAUUAAACAAUAUAGUUGAACUUUCUCCUGUGAAAUUACUUAACUGUUUCAUAAAAAUAUUACAUUCCCUCUGCCAUAAGAAAUUUGUGUGGUUAAAAAUAAUUUGCAUAUAAUCCUAUCCUUAUUGGGAACUGCUAGAAAUGUUUUCUUUGUUAAACUCAAAGCUUAAACUAACUGUUACAUGUUUUCAGAAAAAUAGCAUAUCUGAUGGUCACCAAGAUAUAUGGAUCUUUAGAUGGCCAGUAAAAGAGCUCUGAUAAGGAAAGAUUUCAAUCUGGUCUGUUUCCCUCUAAAAGAAUUCCGAGCUACUUUCUGGACAAAUUAUUACUAACAGAGGUGCCUG